UACGUAGGGCGCAAGCGUUAUCCGGAAUUAUUGGGCGUAAAGAGCUCGUAGGCGGUUGUCGCGUCUGCCCGUGAAAGUCCGGGCUCAACUCCGGAUCUGCGGUGGGUACGGGCAGACUAGAGUGAUGUAGGGGAGACUGGAAUUCCUGGUGUAGCGGUGAAAUGCGCAGAUAUCAGGAGGAACACCGAUGGCGAAGGCAGG
rnacentral:rRNA from 1 species